CACUCUGAUGAUGUUUAAUAUAAAAACUUUCGUUCUCCUGAGCUAAUAAAUGCUGAAAUUUUAUGGAGACCUGAGCUGAAGAGUU
rfam:Gossypium hirsutum cultivar TM-1 chromosome 24, whole genome shotgun sequence